AUUGAACGCUGGCGGCAGGCCUAACACAUGCAAGUCGAACGGCAGCACAGAAGAGCUUGCUCUUUGGGUGGCGAGUGGCGGACGGGUGAGUAAUGUCUGGGAAACUGCCCGAUGGAGGGGGAUAACUACUGGAAACGGUAGCUAAUACCGCAUAACGUCGCAAGACCUAAGUGGGGGACCUUCGGGCCUCACACCAUCGGAUGUGCCCAGACGGGAUUAGCUAGUAGGUGGGGUAAUGGCUCACCUAGGCGACGAUCCCUAGCUGGUCUGAGAGGAUGACCAGCCAAACUGGAACUGAGACACGGCCCAGACUCCUACGGGAGGCAGCAGUGGGGAAUAUUGCACAAUGGGCGCAAGCCUGAUGCAGCCAUGCCGCGUGUAUGAAGAAGGCCUUCGGGUUGUAAAGUACUUUCAGCGGGGAGGAAGGCGGUGAGGUUAAUAACCUUGCCGAUUGACGUUACCCGCAGAAGAAGCACCGGCUAACUCCGUGCCAGCCGCCGCUGUAA
rnacentral:rRNA from 1 species